rnacentral:rRNA from 1 species
UACGUAGGGCGCAAGCGUUGUCCGGAAUCAUUGGGCGUAAAGAGCUCGUAGGCGGCCUGUUGCGUCCGCUGUGAAAUCCCGGGGCUCAACCCCGGGCCUGCAGUGGAUACGGGCUGGCUAGAGGCAGGCAGGGGAGAACGGAAUUCCUGGUGUAGCGGUGAAAUGCGCAGAUAUCAGGAGGAACACCGGUGGCGAAGGCGGUUCUCUGGGCCUGUACUGACGCUGAGGAGCGAAAGCGUGGGUAGCAAACAGG